AGACGUCUACAUUAGAUACCCGGGUAGUCCCAGCCGUAAACUAUGCGCGUUAGGUGUAUCGGUGACCACGAGUCACCGAGGUGCCGAAGGGAAACCGUGAAACGUGCCGCCUGGGAAGUACGGUCGCAAGGCUGAAACUUAAAGGAAUUGGCGGGGAGCACCACAACAGGUGGAGCCUGCGGUUUAAUUGGACUCAACGCCGGAAAUCUCACCGGAUAAGACAGCAGAAUGAUUGCCGGGCUGAAGACUCUGCAUGACUAGCUG
rnacentral:rRNA from 1 species